rnacentral:rRNA from 1 species
GAUCAAGUUAUUAAGGGCAUACGGUGGAUGUCUUGGCGUUGAGAGGCGAUGAAGGACGUCGGUAACCUGCGAAAAGCCUAGAGGAGUUGGUAACCAAGCAUUGAUUCUAGGAUGUCCGAAUGGGGAAACCCGGCCCGCAAGGGUCAUCCAUACCCGAAUGCAUACGGUAUGGAAGCAAACCCGGAGAACUGAAACAUCUCAGUACCCGGAGGAAAGGAAAGCAACCGCGACUCCGUUAGUAGCGCCGAGCGAAAGCGGAUUAACCAGUAAAUCAACGUGAGUCGUCUGGAAAGACGGACCACAGAGGGUGACAGUCCCGUAGCGUUGUGGCUGGUGAGGCCUAGAGUAGGUUCGAGCUCGUGAAACUCGGAUUGAACAUGGGGGGUCCACCCUCCAAGCCUAAGUACUACUCGACGACCGAUAGUUGACCAGUAAGGCGACUGAAUGGUGACAAGCACCCCUGUUAGGGGAGUGAAAGAGUACCUGAAACCAUACGCUUACAAGCGGUCGGAGCCCUUUGGGGUGACGGCGUGCCUUUUGCAUAAUGAACCUACGAGUUACUCCUCUCUAGCAAGGAUAAGAAUUUAUGAUUCGAAUCCGUAGCGAAAGCAAGUCUUAAUAGGGCGCUUAGUUAGAGGGGGUAGACGCGAAACCUAGUGAUCUACCCAUGGACAGGUUGAAACUCCGUUAAUCCGGAGUGGAGGACCGAACCAUUACACGUUGAAAAGUGUUUGGAUGAUCUGUGGGUAGGGGUGAAAGGCUAAUCAAACUAGGAAAUAGCUCGUACUCUCCGAAAUGCAUUUAGGUGCAGCCUCGAUAUUAUUGUCAUAGAGGUAGAGCUACUGAUUGGAUGCGGGGGCUUCAUCGCCUACCA